rnacentral:lncRNA from 1 species
AUGCUCGGACGUGUUCUCACCCCAGCCCCCUCAUUUCUUGGAAGAGGAACGCAAGAAAUUACAGGGCUUUGUCCAGGGCCUCAUGACCUUGGUAGAGUCUCCUGUGGAAACCUAAGCAUCAGAGCCCUGGCGCCGGGGAUCUCUGCCCUACACCAGAGAUGCUUCUUGCUCUGUUUCUGGGUCCUGAAUAUUGUUGAUGUGUGCUGGCCUCAGCCUCGCCCUUGUGUCCUCUAUGGCUCCAGCUCAGGACUCAAGCCAGACUGGCCGACGUGCAGUCCUGCUGUGCAGCCAUGACCUUGGUCGGGUCCUUCACAUCUCAGUUUUCUCAUCUGUGGAAUGGUCACCGUGACAGCACCCACCCUGCAGGCUUCGGUGAGGAUUAAGGAAAAAGCACAUUAAAUACCCCGGACUUAGCAGAAACUGCGUGAAUGUUAACUGCUGCCCCUGCUGGGCAUCUUCUAAGAUUGACAUCACCAUUUGGUAGCUUUAUGACAUCAGAGGAUUGACUUAACCUCUCUGGGCCUCAGUUUCCUAUUUUAUUUUUUAUUUUUUAAAAUAUUUUAUUUAUUUAUUUGACAGACAGAGAUCACAAGCAGGCAGAAAGGCAGGCAGAGAGUGAGGAGGAAGCAGGCUCCCCGCUGAGCAGAGAGCCCGAUGGGGGCCUUGAUCCCAGGACCCUGAGAUCAUGACCUGAGCUGAAGGCAGAGGCUUAACCCACUGAGCCACCCAGGCGCCCCUAAAUGUCAAUAUUUUUAUGACUCUUC